rnacentral:rRNA from 1 species
UUAAGCGACUAAGCGUACACGGUGGAUGCCCUGGCAGUCAGAGGCGAUGAAGGACGUGCUAAUCUGCGAUAAGCGCCGGUAAGGUGAUAUGAACCGUUAUAACCGGCGAUUUCCGAAUGGGGAAACCCAGUGUGACUCGUCACACUAUCAUUAACUGAAUCCAUAGGUUAAUGAGGCGAACCGGGGGAACUGAAACAUCUAAGUACCCCGAGGAAAAGAAAUCAACCGAGAUUCCCCCAGUAGCGGCGAGCGAACGGGGAGGAGCCCAGAGCCUGAAUCAGCAUGUGUGUUAGUGGAAGCGUCUGGAAAGGCGCGCGAUACAGGGUGACAGCCCCGUACACAAAAGCGCAUGUGCUGUGAGCUCGAUGAGUAGGGCGGGACACGUGGUAUCCUGUCUGAAUAUGGGGGGACCAUCCUCCAAGGCUAAAUACUCCUGACUGACCGAUAGUGAACCAGUACCGUGAGGGAAAGGCGAAAAGAACCCCGGCGAGGGGAGUGAAAAAGAACCUGAAACCGUGUACGUACAAGCAGUGGGAGCCCCACCACUAAGCCAGUGGUGAACUCCACAUACGCAUCCUUUGCUGAGGAUACGGUUAACGGAGCGAAAGCGACGUUCAACCGCAAAAGAAGCAGAGGGGGCUUAGUGGUGGGGUGACUGCGUACCUUUUGUAUAAUGGGUCAGCGACUUAUAUUCUGUAGCAAGGUUAACCGUAUAGGGGAGCCGGAGGGAAACCGAGUCUUAACCGGGCGUUAAGUUGCAGGGUAUAGACCCGAAACCCGGUGAUCUAGCCAUGGGCAGGUUGAAGGUUGGGUAACACUAACUGGAGGACCGAACCGACUAAUGUUGAAAAAUUAGCGGAUGACCUGUGGCUGGGGGUGAAAGGCCAAUCAAACCGGGAGAUAGCUGGUUCUCCCCGAAAGCUAUUUAGGUAGCGCCUCGUGAAUUCAUCUCCGGGGGUAGAGCACUGUUUCGGCUAGGGGGCCAUCCCGGCUUACCAACCCGAUGCAAACUGCGAAUACCGGAGAAUGUUAUCACGGGAGACACACGGCGGGUGCUAACGUCCGUCGUGAAGAGGGAAACAACCCAGACCGCCAGCUAAGGUCCCAAAGUCAUGGUUAAGUGGGAAACGAUGUGGGAAGGCCCAGACAGCCAGGAUGUUGGCUUAGAAGCAGCCAUCAUUUAAAGAAAGCGUAAUAGCUCACUGGUCGAGUCGGCCUGCGCGGAAGAUGUAACGGGGCUAAACCAUGCACCGAAGCUGCGGCAGCGAACGUAUCACUUAAAGCGAUUCAGCGGAUGACGAUUGACGGAGCGAAGCGACGUCAAAGCGUAUACAAAGUCGAGUCGGUUUAAGGAUACGUUCGUUGGGUAGGGGAGCGUUCUGUAAGCCUGUGAAGGUGGCCUGUGAGGGUUGCUGGAGGUAUCAGAAGUGCGAAUGCUGACAUAAGUAACGAUAAAGCGGGUGAAAAGCCCGCUCGCCGGAAGACCAAGGGUUCCUGUCCAACGUUAAUCGGGGCAGGGUGAGUCGACCCCUAAGGCGAGGCCGAAAGGCGUAGUCGAUGGGAAACGGGUUAAUAUUCCCGUACUUGGUGUUACUGCGAAGGGGGGACGGAGAAGGCUAUGUUGGCCGGGCGACGGUUGUCCCGGUUUAAGCGUGUAGGUGUGUGUUCCAGGUAAAUCCGGUUCACUUUAACACUGAGGCGUGAUGACGAGGCACUACGGUGCUGAAGCAACAAAUGCCCUGCUUCCAGGAAAAGCCUCUAAGCAUCAGGUAACAUCAAAUCGUACCCCAAACCGACACAGGUGGUCAGGUAGAGAAUACCAAGGCGCUUGAGAGAACUCGGGUGAAGGAACUAGGCAAAAUGGUGCCGUAACUUCGGGAGAAGGCACGCUGACAUGUAGGUGAAGUGAUUUACUCAUGGAGCUGAAGUCAGUCGAAGAUACCAGCUGGCUGCAACUGUUUAUUAAAAACACAGCACUGUGCAAACACGAAAGUGGACGUAUACGGUGUGACGCCUGCCCGGUGCCGGAAGGUUAAUUGAUGGGGUCAGCGCAAGCGAAGCUCCUGAUCGAAGCCCCGGUAAACGGCGGCCGUAACUAUAACGGUCCUAAGGUAGCGAAAUUCCUUGUCGGGUAAGUUCCGACCUGCACGAAUGGCGUAAUGAUGGCCAGGCUGUCUCCACCCGAGACUCAGUGAAAUUGAACUCGCUGUGAAGAUGCAGUGUACCCGCGGCAAGACGGAAAGACCCCGUGAACCUUUACUAUAGCUUGACACUGAACAUUGAGCCUUGAUGUGUAGGAUAGGUGGGAGGCUUUGAAGUGUGGACGCCAGUCUGCAUGGAGCCGACCUUGAAAUACCACCCUUUAAUGUUUGAUGUUCUAACGUGGACCCGUGAUCCGGGUUGCGGACAGUGUCUGGUGGGUAGUUUGACUGGGGCGGUCUCCUCCUAAAGAGUAACGGAGGAGCACGAAGGUUGGCUAAUCCUGGUCGGACAUCAGGAGGUUAGUGCAAUGGCAUAAGCCAGCUUGACUGCGAGCGUGACGGCGCGAGCAGGUGCGAAAGCAGGUCAUAGUGAUCCGGUGGUUCUGAAUGGAAGGGCCAUCGCUCAACGGAUAAAAGGUACUCCGGGGAUAACAGGCUGAUACCGCCCAAGAGUUCAUAUCGACGGCGGUGUUUGGCACCUCGAUGUCGGCUCAUCACAUCCUGGGGCUGAAGUAGGUCCCAAGGGUAUGGCUGUUCGCCAUUUAAAGUGGUACGCGAGCUGGGUUUAGAACGUCGUGAGACAGUUCGGUCCCUAUCUGCCGUGGGCGCUGGAGAACUGAGGGGGGCUGCUCCUAGUACGAGAGGACCGGAGUGGACGCAUCACUGGUGUUCGGGUUGUCAUGCCAAUGGCACUGCCCGGUAGCUAAAUGCGGAAGAGAUAAGUGCUGAAAGCAUCUAAGCACGAAACUUGCCCCGAGAUGAGUUCUCCCUGAGACUUUAAGUCUCCUGAAGGAACGUUGAAGACGACGACGUUGAUAGGCCGGGUGUGUAAGCGCAGCGAUGCGUUGAGCUAACCGGUACUAAUGAACCGUGAGGCUUAACCUU